UGGGGGAUAUUGCACAAUGGGGGAAACCCUGAUGCAGCGACGCCGCGUGGAGGAAGAAGGUUUUCGGAUUGUAAACUCCUGUCGUUAGGGACGAAUCAUGACGGUACCUAACAAGAAAGCACCGGCUAACUACGUGCCAGCAGCCGCGGUAAAACGUAGGGUGCAAGCGUUGUCCGGAAUUACUGGGUGUAAAGGGAGCGCAGGCGGACCGGCAAGUUGGAAGUGAAAACCAUGGGCUCAACCCAUGAAUUGCUUUCAAAACUGCUGGCCUUGAGUAGUGCAGAGGUAGGUGGAAUUCCCGGUGUAGCGGUGGAAUGCGUAGAUAUCGGGAGGAACACCAGUGGCGAAGGCGACCUACUGGGCACCAACUGACGCUGAGGCUCGAAAGCAUGGGUAGCAAACAGG
rnacentral:rRNA from 1 species